rnacentral:rRNA from 1 species
GAUGAACGCUGGCGGCGUGCCUAAUACAUGCAAGUCGAGCGGUAAGGUUCUGCACUUAGUAUUUGACCAGAUCAAGUCCACGGUAAGCAAUUACUAGAGGAAACUGACUGAAGCAAGGAAACUCCAAGGCUGGAGAAUCCGAGUCGAAUCCUGGGUGUAGAAUACACGAGCGGCGGACGGCUGAGUAACACGUAGGAACGUA